ACACUCCAAUCAUACUCUGGGCACUAGCACAACUUAAGUACACUUGAUAAUGUUUGAACUCAUAUUUAUGUUGUGCAAAAAACAAGUCACGAGUGCUGAAAACGGACAACAGCUCAAUUAGCCUGCAGAUCCAAAAUACAGGCCAGCUCUCUCUGCACAAGAGAUACAGCAACCCCAGACGACCGUUUCAACCUUGUUAGGC